GGGGGCGUUUUUGGAUUCGACAGGGGUCCCUCGAGCACACUAAGCGUGUCGGAGGGUUGUCUCCGAGAUCACACAUUUCAGUAAAUAUAACUGACAAAUCAAACAAUAAUUUCGCAGUAGCUGCGUAAUAGCACACUGCAUCGCCUAACAGUAUCUCCUACGUGCUGUUAACGCGAUUCAACCCUAGUAGGAUAUGCUAAACACUGCCGUUUGAAGUCUGUUUAGAUGAAUACCAAUCAAACUAGCAUAAUACUGGUUGUCUGUUGCUUACUAUUAUGCGAAUUUAAUCAAUAGACUACACACGUAGAAAGGUGUGUAUCAGGACCUCUGGACGCGGGUUCGAAUCCCGCCGUCUCCAUUA
rnacentral:tmRNA from 1 species